UCACUGAUGCGCAUGCUCCAACAGGUCCUUUUCGUUCGCCCGCGGUUCGCAGGCCGCACGCGGUGCCGGACCUGUCUUCAAGCCCGUCUUCCCGGGUACCCUGCGUGUGCCUCCGUGUACGGAGGCUGCCUCACUAAACUCUGAGACUAUGUCUUGGUGGUUAGCCCCCAGACUGAAAACAGCGAAAAGAGAAGUGCUCCAGUACACAUGUGAAUGUAAGUUCCAUGAGAGCAGAGACUGUAUCUUGUUUAUCUGUGCAUCUCCAGCUCCGAGCACAAGGAAUGCUCACACAUGACCUGUGGUCCAAAACCAUACCAGGAAGGUAUGAGCUCCAUUUGAUCCAUAAGGAAACAGAGGCUCAAAAAGCUUAAGUCAUCUGCCCAAGGUCACAGAGCUAGAAGUGGAGGAGCUGGGAUUCAAACCCGAGUCCUGCUUCAGCUUCAGUGAUGAAGAGUCAGUUAAAGAAUAAAUAGAAAGAAAGGAUAUGACAAGUUUGUAAGUACUCUCUAGUUUUUCAUCUUUAAAAAAUGUAGGUGUAAAUUUGUAAUUUUUUGGUUUUGCAUGGUAGAGGACUUCCCUUAAGCAGUAGAUGAAUG